GGGGUCAGGUCUGUGAGGUCAUGUGAGAGGAACACGCUGGGGUCAGGUCUGUGAGGUCACGUGGGAGGCACACGCAGGGGUCAGGUCUGUGAGGUCACGUGGGAGGCACAGGCAGGGGUCAGGUCUGUGAGGUCACGUGGGAGGCACACGCAGGGGUCAGGUCUGUGAGGUCACGUGGGAGGCACACGCAGGGGUCAGGUCUGUGAGGUCACGUGGGAGGCACAGUCAGGGGUCAGGUCUUUGAGGUCACGUGGGAGGCACAGGCAGGGGUCAGGUCUGUGAGGUCACGUGGGAGGCACAGGCAGGGGUCAGGUCUGUGAGGUCACGUGGGAGGCACAGGCAGGGGUCAGGUCUGUGAGGUCAUGUGGGAGGAACACGCAGGGGUCAGGUCUGCUAGGUCACGUGGGAGGCACAGGCAGGGGUCAGGUCUGCUAGGUCAUGUGGGAGGAUCACCCAGGGGUCAGGUCUAUGUGGUCAUGUGGGAGGAACACGCAGGGGUCACCUGCCCCAGCGUCCCACGGUUUCCAGCCUUGGCCUGUCCUCUUUCACCUGGCCCACGGGUGAUGUGUGCUG
rnacentral:lncRNA from 1 species